CAACCAUCUAACUUGCUGGAGCCAAGUCAAUGCUCUUUAGUGUCAUAAUUCGAGGAUGAUUCUUGUUUAAAUCAAGAACCUAGCACAUCAAAAUUAGGUAAGAAAAUAUUAUAUUUCAUCAUGAUAAAAUAAAAACAAAACACAAACUAAUAAAUAUGACUUUGUAACAAAUUAAUGAGAGUAGAUUUCACUUAUUCUUUAUAUAUCAUAAAAUCUUGUAUGAAUAACGUAUGGUAUGGGUUGAGAUGACAUGAAGAAUCUUAGUUUUUCUCUUUAAAAAAUGAAUGAAAAAAAUCUGAUAAAGAUAUCACCAUCAAUCCCUACCAACCCUAUGCAAAUAGACUCGAAUCAUGAUAAAGUUGUGCAUACUAAUUUUUUGGACAAGCUUGUAUCAAACCCCUACUUCUCAACUCUCCAACACACUAGUAUGGAAUGAUGACUUGAUCGAUGAAGUGAGGCCUCUACAGGCGGCUGAAAAUUUCAUUCCUACCACAGUAGCUGACACGAGUAGGCUAUAUACGCCUAGGAAAUUUGUUGUUAUUAUCAAGCUAGUGGGAUAGAAAAUAGGCCAUCAAAUCCUUAAGAUCAAACCAAUCUCUAUGGAAAACCACAAAAGACAUAUCGUUGAUAGACCUUGGAGCUGACUUUUUCCAACCACAUGUUCCAUGAUGGCCCUUGGUUUGAAUUUAAUCACAGACUCUCUGUGCAAAAAUAGAAACCAAAAUUUGUGGUGUCACAAGCCCGAAUAGCAGUCUGCCAUUUGAAUUUGUUUACUAGAACUUCCUACUGAAUUUUAUGACUUAUAAAUCUUAUACAAGAUUGGAAGCAAGAUAGGGAUCCUUCUUAAAAUCGAUACCUGCACCUUUAUACUAGAUUGUGUAUGCAAGUACCAUUGGAGCAGCCCCUGCUACACAAUGUAUACAUUGUCACACAUAAGCAAUACAUCUACUAUGACGAAGAAAAUCUCUUAUGCACAAGUGCGGACAUUUGGGACGCACUUUAGCUCAGUGUGCCUAUAUUCUAACUUGUCACACAACUCUCAGUAAAUCCCACUCAAAUUUGAAGGUAUCCACCUCAGACGAUGAACGAUGGAAUUUGAUCAAGUUCGGUAGGAAACGCGACCAAACGUCAGUGGCGAAGCCAGAGAAGUCUCUAGCAAUGGGAGAUGAUCAAUAUUCCAGCCAAUAAAAGCUUUAGCGUCCCCAGUCAAGUCCUUGCAGGUGCCUCCUCCAUGCUUUGGGUGAUCCUAAGAUACACCAUGUUUAUAGAGAGAAGAAUGAGUUAGCGGAUGAAAUAGCUAGGAAUGCUGGAAUUUAACUACUACAAUCUCUACUAUUGUACUAUCUUGUGAAUCUCCACCAUCACUUUGUGAUAUUUUGUGUGUGGACAAGAGCAGAUUACCAACCGUUAGUUGGGUGAAGUAGCCUCUCUCUCUCACCCAAAUAUGCAUUAUAUUAGUCCUAGAACAAAUGCUCAGGUUGUACAACAUAGUGCUCUUACUAGGACCUCUAUGACUGUAGUUGAGAUACCACAAGUUCUGCCUCAGUAAACUUCAUGUUUUAUAUAAAUAAAUCUUGUUGACCAAUAAAAAAACGUAUGGGAUGUACUCAUUAGUUAUGUGUAAACAUCAACUUCGGAAUAAAUUUGUUGCAUCCGAUAUUUAAACCAACCUGCAAUAAAGUUGCUUCUAUUGCUUCU